AUGAACAAAAAGGAAGGAGGGUUCAUUUGGCAAUAAAAGGAAUGGGCUUGGACUUUGGGUCUUUUGCCUUAGACAUUAAAGUGAACUCCAUAAUUUGACAACACCGCCCCCCGAACUUGCCUGUUUAAAUCUAAAUCGCAGCUGUCUAAGGUAACUGACCCAUCUGUGGUGUGCACUUGCUUUGGUGAUAAGCAAACAUGAGUUUAUGCUAUCCAUCCACACCCAAGAAGCUGGCAAUUACCGUGGGGUGCUUCCUUGCCGGUGCAGGCCUUUUCGCAAUCGGUACCCAUCUCUCUUAUGUAUACAUUGCCCCUCAGCAAGCUCGGACUAAAGCUCGAGAUGAAUUUGUCAAGGAACGGUUGAGAAAGAAAUAUGACAAACCUUAGAGCUGUACUUGUUCUCCUAUGUACCUUGGUUUUUACCCACAUUCUCUCCUUGGUGCUCUGCUCUCAUUUAGUGCUAUAGAGUAAUAAGAACUGUCAUUGGAAUGUCACUUUGGGCUUAGGCUGUAGAUGUAGUCUUCCUCCAGGGCUUCUUUCGGCGGUAGCAUUGGCUUGGGGUAAACCUUGGCAUCCUCAGCAAGUUGUAUUGUGGAACUACUUCCAUCUAGUUUGUUCAUGCAUUUGGUUAUUUGAACAAUGCUGAAACCAUUCUUUGAUUCAAAUUUCUGAUAGAUUCUUAUGUAAUAUAAGUUCAUAAUUACCACUUGCAAGAUGACAGAUUUAUUGCUAAGGCAAAGGAGUCUAGCAAGGAGACCCUUUGCUUGGCAGAUACUAGUUCCAUUUUAUGAAAGCUUAAAGCCCAGAUACUUUACCCACCAAAGCUAAAGUGAAGCCUGAACAUAAGAUCUUUGAAAGAUCCCCUGCUCAUGCCACCAAUUAGACCAAAAGAGUGCUUUUUGAACCUAUAUUGCAGGCAUCAGGCAUGCCAUCUCAUACUUGAAACAGAAUUAACUCCAUUUCUAUCUCGGUAUCCUACCACAAUAAUUCCAAUUUUGACAAAUUUAUAGGCAAGUUGAUCAGAAAGCCACAUCCAUAUCAAUCAAAAUAAGCUGCAUUUAUAAACUUCAAGUACAAAAAUAACAUGCAACCGAAGUUAUAUAAUAAUACUGUUGAAUAGGGCACAACCGACUAGUUGACAUUCAAACUAAAUGUUCAAUACUAACACAAUCUUAAAUGUCAAACAACUGAAAAGGUGAAA